CUACGCACUCUACGGGAGGCAGCAUGGGGAAUAUUGCACAAUGGGCGCAAGCCUGAUGCAGCCAUGCCGCGUGUAUGAAGAAGGCCUUCGGGUUGUAAAGUACUUUCAGCAGUGAGGAAGGUGGGUAUGUUAAUAGCAUACUCAUUUGACGUUAGCUGCAGAAGAAGCACCGGCUAACUCCGUGCCAGCAGCCGCGGUAAUACGGAGGGUGCGAGCGUUAAUCGGAAUUACUGGGCGUAAAGCGCAUGCAGGUGGUUUGUUAAGUCAGAUGUGAAAGCCCGGGGCUCAACCUCGGAAUUGCAUUUGAAACUGGCAAACUAGAGUACUGUAGAGGGGGUAGAAUUUCAGGUGUAGCGGUGAAAUGCGUAGAGAUCUGAAGGAAUACCGGUGGCGAAGGCGGCCCCCUGGACAGAUACUGACACUCAGAUGCGAAAGCGUGGGGAGCAAACAGGAUUAGAUACCCUGGUAG
rnacentral:rRNA from 1 species